GAUGAACGCUGGCGGCGUGCUUAACACAUGCAAGUCGAACGGAAAGGCCCAAGCUUGCUUGGGUACUCGAGUGGCGAACGGGUGAGUAACACGUGGGUGAUUUGCCCUGCACUUCGGGAUAAGCCUGGGAAACUGGGUCUAAUACCGGAUAGGACGAUGGUUUGGAUGCCAUUGUGGAAAGUUUUUUCGGUGUGGGAUGAGCUCGCGGCCUAUCAGCUUGUUGGUGGGGUAAUGGCCUACCAAGGCGUCGACGGGUAGCCGGCCUGAGAGGGUGUACGGCCACAUUGGGACUGAGAUACGGCCCAGACUCCUACGGGAGGCAGCAGUGGGGAAUAUUGCACAAUGGGCGCAAGCCUGAGGCAGCGACGCCGCGUGGGGGAUGACGGCCUUCGGGUUGUAAACUCCUUUCGCUAGGGACGAAGCGUUUUUGUGACGGUACCUGGAGAAGAAGCACCGGCUAACUACGUG
rnacentral:rRNA from 1 species